rfam:Myotis lucifugus cont2.7800, whole genome shotgun sequence.
CCUGCACCAGUGGGGUCCCUCAGCCUGGCCUGCACCCUCUCGCAAUCCAGGACCCCUCAGGGGAUGUCGGACUGCCGGUUUUGGCCCGAUCCGUGCAGGCCAGGCUGAGGGACCCCACUGGUGCACA